CAGUAGCCGCGGUAAAACGUAGGUGGCAAGCGUUGUCCGGAAUUAUUGGGCGUAAAGGGCUCGCAGGCGGUUUCUUAAGUCUGAUGUGAAAGCCCCCGGCUCAACCGGGGAGGGUCAUUGGAAACUGGGAAACUUGAGUGCAGAAGAGGAGAGUGGAAUUCCACGUGUAGCGGUGAAAUGCGUAGAGAUGUGGAGGAACACCAGUGGCGAAGGCGACUCUCUGGUCUGUAACUGACGCUGAGGAGCGAAAGCGUGGGGAGCGAACAGGAUUAGAUACCCGCGUAGUCCCUGUCUCUUAUAC
rnacentral:rRNA from 1 species